GAUGAAGAACGUAGCGAAAUGCGAUAAGUAAUGCGAAUUGCAGAAUCCGUGAGUCAUCGAAUCUUUGAACGCACAUUGCGUCCUUUGGUAUUCCGAAGGGCAUGCCUGUUCGAGCGUCAUUAUCACCCCUCAAGCCCCGGCUUGGUGUUGGGCUCUCGGUGGUCGUCUCCGACCACCCGUCUCAAAGAUAGUGACGGCGUCCCAGAGGGAACCGGUACGAGGAGCUUUCACGAGCAUGUACGCGGGACGACUCUGCGGGCGACGGUCUUAUUUACUUUAUAUACAAGUGUUGACCUCGGAUCAGGUAGGAAUACCCGCUGAACUUAAGCAUAUCAAUAAGCGGAGGA
rnacentral:misc_RNA from 1 species